rnacentral:tRNA from 2 species
GAAGAAUUAGUUUAAUUUAUAAAACACUAAAUUGUCAGUUUAGAAUUAUUAUUUUUAAUAUUCUUUU